CUCUCUCCCCCACUCCCCUCUCUCCCCCUCUCUCUGCCACUCCUCUCUCUCCCCCAUCCCCGGCAGGAGUCAAAGAUCCAGUGUAAUUGUAUUGUAGACUUUGUAGUCAGUAUGGUGCACAUUGGAAUGACUUUAUUUCCAAAUUUCCCUUCUACUCAUCUCACUCUCUCAUAUGUUUUACUCCGUGUGUUGUCCAUGCAUCAUGACCUGGAGUGUUGAACUAUGAAUGUUUAGACCACUCCUUCAUACAGCACUGUGUGUACACCUAGGUGUGUGUGUGUGUGUGUGUGUGUGUGUGUGUGUGUGUGUGUGUGUGUGUGUGUGUUUCCGUUCUGCGGCCGGGUUCAAGCGUCACAACUGCAAUCGUGGUGCGAGACCAUCUGCUGCUGAGAGAGCAGCUCUGCCCCUCAGCUGCCCACGUUGUAAACGCAAUUUCCGCCGGCAGCAGGACCUAGCCAGACAUUCGCGGUCCUGCUUGUGAUCCGUGUCCCGUUUUCUGGUCCCCUUUCCAUUGGGGUGACACUUGCCCCUCUGGGCAGUCAUGCUGCUAGUAGUAGUAGUAGUAGUAGUAGUAGUAGUGUGUGUGUGUGUGUGUGUGUGUGUGUGUGUGUGUGUGUGUGUGUGUGUGUGUGUGUGUGUGUGUGUGUGUGUGUGUGCCUUCACCUGCAACUCUGCUUAUCCGCCUGCACAAUGCUGUUGCUGUUGCACCUGAUGUUGCUGUGGCUGUUAUUGCUGUUGAUGCUGUUGCUAGCUCGGUGACUUCUUUCUCCUGUUGUUGUUGCUGCAGCUGCUGUUUCUGCGGCUGUUAUCGCUGCCUUUGUUGUUGUUGCUGCUGGUUCUGCGACUGUUAUCGCUGCCUUUGUUGUUGUUGCUGCUGGUUCUGCGGCUGUUAUUGCUGCCUUUGUUGUUGUUGCUGCUGUUUCUGCGGCUGUUAUCGCUGCCUUUGUUGUUGUUGCUGCUGGUUCUGCGGCUGUUGCUGUGCGUGCCAUGGCUCAUGUUUCUUCAGGUGCUGUUGUUAUGGUUACCUGUGCUGUGGAUGAUCAGGUUGCUGGUGUAGGAGACCUGAACAUUACUGGCUACUGUUCAUUACUAGAAGAAUGCAGAGGAUUGUGAAGAUGUACAUUGUACAUGUCUAUCUGUUCAGACAGUACACAAGGUGAAUGAAGAUGGAACAUAUCCAUUUCAUCAAAAUUGUUCUCUUCUCAAUUGCUUUAUUUUGAUCUUGGAACUGCAACCUUCCUUGUUAGUGAAGUAACGUUGUACUCCCUCCCACCACCCGUCCCCUCCUCCUUAUCACCCCUCCCCCUUAUCACCCCUCCCCCUUAUCACCCCUCCCCCUAUAUCCUUCCCCAACCACACGAAUCAUUGUGUAUUUUAAAUGUUACACACCGCUAGGCUAGGCAAGUUUUCAUGGUAUUUUCUUGCGGUAAUAACUGCUGGUGACUACUUCAAUUUCACUAGAGAAAUGAAAAGACCAUGGUUUACCGGUACUUGAUGUGUGUGUUUGUUCCUGAUCACAUUCAUACACAAAUACUCGUCUGCGUAUCCAUGUUGCACUAUUAUAACUACUGGCCUCGUUUUUGCUGCUGUCCAUGUAAUGGACUACAAAAAUUAUUAUUUUUCACUCCAUUCUGCACCCGUUUUCUUCCUACUGUUUCCCAUAACUCAGGUGAUAUGUUAUUACCUAUGAUGUGUUUGACUGCUUCUCUUGCCACAUAUAGCUGAUACUAGUGAUAGUAAAACUGGAUGCUGUUCUCCAAUUCAUGAAUGUAUAUUAUUAUCAUUAAACUGAGUACGGUACUCGAGUACUUGUGUAGUUCAA